UAUUAUCAAAAUAUUUUUAUCUAUUAUACAUUAAUAUAUUAAUUUUUCGCGUGCCACCUCGGGAACGCGUGCCAUGGCUUUAUUUUUUUAUUCCUGAUGCAUAUAGACAAAGAUUAUUGUUUACUCUAUGCUAUUAAUUACUUAUUACAAAUAAAUAUGCUAAUAAUCAAAAAUGUAUAAAUUCACACCGAUUAUAUUAUACUAUUAUACAUAUUGAACUAUAACGACAGAAAAUCAAAAAUUAAAUUUGAAAUUUAGAACUGCAUUUUGAAAUAAAUUUAUUAAUACAGGUUUUUUUUUUUUUUUGUUACAGACAAUCAUAUGAGAAAAGCUCAAAUAAAAUUAAUGCGGUUCUCGAAGGUCUAGGUUUUGUGUGCAAUAAUGAUAAAAUAUACAUAUCGUGCAUAAUACAUAUUAUACAUAUUAUACACUGUUAUAAUGUUAAUAAUCAAUAUAAUACCGGAUACGGCACAAAAACUCAUACGUCACCUGCAAAGUCAAAAUUUUUGUCACAUCAUGUUUGGUAUCGCAAAGCCAUCUCCAAAUGGAUUGACAAACAUGGAAAGCACAAAGCAAUAGUGUAGAUUCCGGAAAGACUUCUUGUAGUGCUUGACGUUCUGCUGUACUAUCGUCUGUCAUGAAUACUAAAGCACCUAAAGGAAUGCCACCAACCUUUGAAACGCCAAAAAAAAAAGUGAUACAAGAACCACUUUGAUCACAUGAACUUGUAGAGUCCACAAAAAUAAUGUCUUGGGAAAAAGGUAUUUUGUAAGCUCUCAUCAUAAGUGGAGUAAUAAUUACUACACAUAAUGAAAACUCACAAUGAACAGAACUACAGAAUAAGAAAACUUCAAAUUUCAAUUAUCUUGUAAAUAAUGAACUAAUGAGCUAUGAUAACUGACAAGUGAUAACGUAUCUUGCGCAAUGAGGGAUGUGGGUGCCAUACCCGUCUGACCGAAUUCAGUUACGGUUCGUAAAUACGUCGACCGGCUGCCGACGGCGAGUAGUGGGCGUGACUUAAACGCCGCACGCUUGCGGAAUGCGAAAACACUUAACAGCGCAUUCUCUCGGCCGUUGUAUACGUUUCACUUUACGUGUAGCGUCCUCUUAAUAUUAGGCCCACUGCAUUCAAAUUUAUUAUCAAUGUCA